UACGUAGGGGGCAAGCGUUAUCCGGAUUUACUGGGUGUAAAGGGAGCGCAGACGGCAGUGCAAGUCUGGAGUGAAAGCCCGGGGCCCAACCCCGGAACUGCUCUGGAAACUGUGCGGCUAGAGUACUGGAGGGGCAGGCGGAAUUCCUAGUGUAGCGGUGAGAUGCGUAGAUAUUAGGAGGAACACCAGUGGCGAAGGCGGCCUGCUGGACAGUAACUGACGUUGAGGCUCGAAAGCGUGGGGAGCAAACAGG
rnacentral:rRNA from 1 species